rnacentral:ncRNA from 1 species
GUAGUCGAUGGAUAACCGGUUGAUAUUCCGGUACCCGCUGUGAAGCGUCAAACAUCGAAUCCAGUGAUGCUAAGCCCGUGAAGCCGUUCCGGACCCUUCGGGGAAAGGAAAGUGGUGGAGCCGGUGACCCGAUCUGGUAGUAGGUGAGUGAUGGGGUGACGCAGGAAGGUAGUCCAGCCCGGGCGGUGGUUGUCCCGGGGUAAGGGUGUAGGCCGUGCGGUAGGUAAAUCCGUCGCACACAAGGCUGAGACCUGAUGCCGAGCCGAUUGUGGUGAAGUGGAUGAUCCUAUGCUGUCGAGAAAAGCCUCUAGCGAGUUUCAUGGCGCCCGUACCUAAACCGCUCGAGGUGGUCAGGUAGAGAACUACGAGGCGUUCGGGUGAACUAGUGGUUAACGGAACGUCGGACAAAACGUCGACCCCCGUAACGUUCGGGAGAACGGGGGGCCACAGUCUGGUGAAGUGAGUCUUUGCGUCUCG